GGGGCUGUAGCUCAAUGGCAGAGUGCUUGCCUUGCAUGUAUGAGGCACUGAGUUCGAUCCUCAACACCACA
rnacentral:tRNA from 1 species